rnacentral:rRNA from 1 species
CCCUUAGAUGUUCUGGGCCGCACGCGCGCUACACUGAUGCAUUCAACGAGCCUAUCCUUGACCGACAGGUCCGGGUAAUCUUUGAAUCUGCAUCGUGACGGGGAUAGAUUAUUGCAAUUAUUAAUCUUCAACGAGGAAUGCCUAGUAGGCGCAAGUCAUCAGCUUGCGUCGAUUACGGCCCUGCCCUUUGUACACACCGCCCGUCGCUCCUACCGAUUGGGUGUGCUGGUGAAAUGUUCGGAUCGGCCGUUUGUCGCGGUUUCCGCGGCUCGUGGCUGAGAAGUUCAUUAAACCCUCCCACCUAGAGGAAGGAGAAGUCGUAACA